rnacentral:rRNA from 1 species
GACGAACGCUGGCGGCGUGCUUAACACAUGCAAGUCGAACGGAAAGGCCUUUUCGGAGGUACUCGAGUGGCGAACGGGUGAGUAACACGUGGGUGAUCUGCCCUGCACUCUGGGAUAAGCCUGGGAAACUGGGUCUAAUACCGGAUAGGACCGCACUUUAGUGUGUGUGGUGGAAAGUUUUUUCGGUGUAGGAUGAGCCCGCGGCCUAUCAGCUUGUUGGUGGGGUAAUGGCCUACCAGGGCGGCGACGGGUAGCCGGAUUGAGAGGUUGGUCGGCCACAUUGGGACUGAGAUACGGCCCAGACUCCUACGGGAGGCAGCAGUGGGGAAUAUUGCACAAUGGGCGCAAGCCUGAUGCAGCGACGCCGCGUGGGGGAUGACGGCCUUCGGGUUGUAAACUCCUUUCGCCAGGGACGAAGCGUUUUGUGACGGUACCUGGAGAAGAAGCACCGGCUAACUACGUG